rnacentral:sRNA from 1 species
UGAAUGAGAUUGAUUUAGAUCAGCUUGUCGACAUGGAGGGAACUUCCUUUGAUAUUGACAAAUAUCUGGAAAUGGACUUUGAGCUUGAUGAAUUCCUAGAUUUGGGCUGGAGACCAACAGAUGAACCGCAAGUACCACACAGGUAGAAUUGGUUUUUAUUUUUUAUUAUGUAGACUUUAAUAA